AAGGAGGAAAGGUCGGAG
rnacentral:misc_RNA from 1 species